rnacentral:rRNA from 1 species
AUUGAACGCUGGCGGCAGGCCUAACACAUGCAAGUCGAGCGAGCGGCGGACGGGUGAGUAAUGUCUGGGAAACUGCCUGAUGGAGGGGGAUAACUACUGGAAACGGUAGCUAAUACCGCAUACCAUCAGAUGUGCCCCGAUGGGAUUAGCUAGUAGGUGGGGUAACGUCUCACCUAGGCGACGAUACCUAGCUGGUCUGAGAGGAUGACCAGCAAGAAUGGAAGUCAGACACGGGCCAUCCUCAUACGGUAGGCAGAAGUGGUGAGUAUUGCACCAUGGGCGCAAGCAUGCUGCAGCCUUUCGGCGGGUGUGAAGAAGGCAUUCGAGUUGUAAAGCACUUUCAGCUGGGAGGCGUUACUCGCAGAAGAAGCACCGGCUAACUCCGUGCCCGCAGCCGCGGUAAUAG